AAUCACCCUCUCGUCGGGUGGUCCAUGUUGUGGCGAGCCUCAAAACCGCCACGGCGUGUGACCUCACGAUGAGGGGGAGCACUUUCGUGUCCGCUGGUUAACAUCAAUUUCGAACGUCAUAAAAAGGCUGGAGGGAUGUGGCUCCUUCGGGAGUGUUAUAACCUUUAGCGGAAUGUGGUGAUCGGGAUUGAGGAUUGCAACGAAUACCUUUAGGGCUGUUCCACCUGGCUUCUCUUUGGUAUCCUGGUGACGACAGCUUGCUGACGUCAUUAGGAUUCGCCUUUGAACAGGCUAGAGUGUGAGCAAAUUCGUUAAGGAUGUUAACGUA
rnacentral:rRNA from 1 species